GACGAACGCUGGCGGCGUGCCUAAUACAUGCAAGUAGAACGCUGAAGAGAGGAGCUUACUCUUCUUGGAUGAGUUGCGAACGGGUGAGUAAUGCGUAGGUAACCUGCCUUGUAGCGGUGGAUAACGAUUGGUAACGAUAGUUACGACCGCAUAACAAUGGAUGACACAUGUUAUUUAUUUGAAAGGGGCAAUUGCUCCACUACCAGAUGGACCUGCGAUGUAUUAGCUAGUAGGUGAGGUAAUGGCUCACCUAGGCGAGGAUACAUAGCCGACCUGAGAGGGUGAUCGGCCACACUGGGACUGAGACACGGCCCAGACUGCUACGGGAGGCAGCAGUAGGGAAUCUUCGGCAAUGGGGGCAACCCUGACCGAGCAACGCCGCGUGAGUGAAGAAGGUUUUCGGAUCGUAAAGCUCUGUUGUAAGUCAAGAACGGGUGUGAGAGUGGAAAGUUCACACUGUGACGGUAGCUUACCAGAAAGGGACGGCUAACUACGUG
rnacentral:rRNA from 1 species